GUGAGAGCCAUGCACAGCUCUGUAAGAGGCUGUGCUGGUGGCACCAGCCCUGAGCUGAGGAAAGGGGCCCUCAGCGCUCCGUAUCACUGAAGGAUGAAGAAUAAUUCACUCUUCAUUGCAGGGGUGAGACCUUUGAGCCACAGCUUCCGUGUAAUGAAUCACAGUGCCAGUGCUCCAUCCUGCAGAAGAAACACAGAUCAGAGGGAACAAGAGGGUUUGCUGUUUCCUGGGUACCGGGGCUGUGUGAAACAUUGAAAUUCCACCCUGAGCAGCAGUGAGCAGCAGAACCUGUUUCCAUAGCACUGCCAUGGAAACAGCACUCUGCGAAUCUGUGCCUUCAGGCCCCUCUGCGGCUGAAGCAUCUCAGUGCUCCUCCCCAGCACCCACCUCCACACUAAAAGCCCCCAGACCUC